rnacentral:lncRNA from 1 species
ACAUUGAUAAAGAAUUAUUAGCACAAAAUGUUGAUAAAAAACAUUGAUAAAAAACAUUGAAAAUUAAAUAUCUUCAAACCAUUCUCCUUUUACAAUUAAAGUGAAGUUGAUUAUUUAUAUCCUCUAAACAGUUUAGCUCCUUAAAGACCAAUAGUGACUCCACAAGAAGAUCACGAACUGUUAUGAACCAAUGAUGAACACCUGUGUGCUUCUGUAAUAGCUUACACACUCAAACCUAAACUUACUUCUAUACUAGCUUAUCUGCUCAGACUAGACUUACUUUUAGCAGGUAUGCAUAUCAAACAUCACUAGGUUCAAACAAGAGAAGAGUAAACAGAUGAUCAUAAAAAGGGAAAUAUAAGAUACAUUGCAGCAAAAAUUACAGACUAGCACAUCAGAAUUUAUGAGCUCAAAAGUUUUCAGCAAGAAUUUAGUAGGAUUAUAUACCAAUAGAAGGAUGAUUACCAUCAUCAAUAUGAGGCAAAGGUCGUCAUGCCGCCAUAAUAGGAGAGCUUCUCCCCGUCGCCAUCAUGAUAACCCUCGAGACAAGAAACACCACGUCAACCACUAUAGUCAAGACAUGGAAUUCAGGAACAGUGAGAGUCAGCACAUCACCUACGUCAAUUGAGAUCUCGAUCGAUCUUUAACGACAUCCAUAGGUCCAAGAUCCUGUAUGCACGUAGCGACAUCAGUUGCCCGCAGGGUCGCAUUCCCAUCCUUAUCAAGACGUGAACCAAGAAACAAAGAAUAAUUAGAAAUUAGAAGACUGACUAGGGCUUGUUGCGAUACGUGUGGAAGCAGAUCUAUGUGGAAUGCAUCUAUGGGUCCAAGAUCCAGUUCCCAUACAUCGACCGAAGAAGUCACGGGUGGCUUCUGCCACGAGUCGCAGAGGCACAGUCCCACACACAAGAAUCAGGAAUCAAGAAUACAAGCUAAGUGUCCAAGAUUCAGUACCCACAAGAUUUUACCCAAGAAGUCUUGGGGAGAGCUUCAGCCACCGUCCAUAGGGGCACAAUGCCACCCCCAUCGACACGUUCCUCCAUCCGUGCAACAGAAUAAUAACGAAUCAAGAUGACAAGCAGAUCUCGACGGUCUGCAUCCGAGCGUCACCCAAAUAGGCACAUCGAUUGGACCAAGAAGAGCCCCUCAUGGGCACAUUCUCACCCUCGUCGACGCGCCAGUCCCGAGGAACAGACGGAAACAGAAGAAUCAAGAAGACAAGUUAGGGUAUGGUGGAGUGCCUGCGGAAGCAGAUCGGGAUGGGUCUGGAUGUCGAGCAGGGCGUCGAAUCCUUGGCCUUGAGGACGUCCUCGUACUUGGCGGGGCGGCGGAGACGCGGGGGAUCAUGGAUCUGUAUGCGAUCGCAGGCGCCUUGAUGGGGCCGGUGGUGGUCACCACCGCGAGGCCCGGAAGAAGGAAGAUCAAUCACGCUGGGCGAAGAGGAGGGAGAAGGAGGAGGACGACGGGAGGAGAAGAGGAGGGAAAGAUCGGAGUCGGCGUCGACGCCGACCAAUAGGUAGGUCGCGAUCAAGUCGAAGGCAAACGUGGGCACGGCAACCAAUCAUUUCGAUCGCAACCGAAUUAUAGGGUCGUAACGACGGUGGGAAUAAUGGAAGGAGGCACUCUGCUCCACGACGUGAUUUAAGAACCGACUUAGCCGACGAGAAGCAGUGUUGGCACACAUCAGCAAUCACGCUUUCCGAUCGGGCUUAAAAAGAAAGAAAUAAGAAU